CUAGCCCCGAUUGCAGUGGCAUCCUUUUUAAGGAUUGGCCUGAGGAAGCGAAGGCACAUCAAUCCUUAAAAAGAUAUAACGGAAAGCGGGAAACU
rnacentral:sRNA from 1 species